AGAUGAGAUGGGGAGGGUGGGGUCAAUCUCUUGUGCUUGCUUCUAUUUUCUAAACAGGUAAAAGUGAAGACCGUGGAGGAUGUAUUGGAGAUUUGAGAGUAGAAUGUAAUGAGAGGUGUGGAUCUUUUUGUCCAAAGCUCAUACAGACAUGUAUACGUGCACAGGAGUUCUCAAAACUGUAAAUAGCCAUCCAAAAGAGGAACACCGUUUUUGAAUCAUCAGGCCGUUUGCAGGUGGAUGGUGAGUUCCAAGCCUAGGGAACGUUCUCGUGGGUGAAGAACUUCUGCAGGAUAUCAUAUGGCAUAGCCAAUAGUGUAAGAAAAUUCCAGAGACUGAC
rnacentral:lncRNA from 1 species